rnacentral:rRNA from 1 species
GACGAACGCUGGCGGCGUGCUUAACACAUGCAAGUCGAACGGGCCCGCUCUCUUUUUUGGGGGUGGGUUGAGUGGCGAACGGGUGAGUAUCACGUGAGUAACCUGCCCCCUGCUCCUGGAUAACUGCUUGAAAGGGCGGCUAAUACGGGGUGUGCCGGCUGGUCCGCAUGGGCCUGGUCGGGAUAGUUACAUCUUCGGGUGUUUCGGUGGGGGAUGGGCUCGCGGCCUAUCAGCUUGUUGGUGGGGUGAUGGCCCACCAAGGCGGUGACGGGUAGCCGGCCUGAGAGGGUGGGCGGCCACACUGGGACUGAGACACGGCCCAGACUCCUGCGGGAGGCAGCAGUGGGGGGUAUUGCACAAUGGGCGGAAGCCUGAUGCAGCGACGUCGCGUGAGGGAUGGAGGCCUUCGGGUUGUGAACCUCUUUCUCCGGUGGUGAAGGCCCUGUCCGUUGCGGCGGGGUUGACGGUAGCCGGGUAUGAAGCGCCGGCUAACUACGUG